rnacentral:rRNA from 1 species
CAGAGGGGGCAAGCGUUAUUCGGAAUUAUUGGGCGUAAAGGGCGCGUAGGCGGCUUUGCAAGUGACGGGUGAAAUCCCUCGGCUUAACCGAGGAACUGCCUGUCAGACUGCAUGGCUCGAGACCAGGAGAGGGAUGCGGAAUUCCAGGUGUAGCGGUGAAAUGCGUAGAUAUCUGGAGGAACACCGGUGGCGAAGGCGGCAUCCUGGACCGAGAUUGACGCUGAUGCGCGAAAGCCAGGGGAGCAAACGGGA